rnacentral:rRNA from 1 species
GAAAACGACUCUCGGCAACGGAUAUCUCGGCUCUUGCAUCGAUGAAGAACGUAGCGAAAUGCGAUACUUGGUGUGAAUUGCAGAAUCCCGUGAACCAUCGAGUCUUUGAACGCAAGUUGCGCCCAAAGCCAUUUGGUUGAGGGCACGCCUGCCUGGGUGUCGUG